AUUGAACGCUGGCGGCAGGCCUAACACAUGCAAGUCGAGCGGAGCGGCUGACGGGUGAGUAAUGCCUAGGAAUCUGCCUGGCAGUGGGGGAUAACGUCCGUAAACGGGCGCUAAUACCGCAUCCUAUCAGAUGAGCCUAGAUCGGAUUAGCUAGUUGGUGGGGUAAAGGCCUACCAAGGCGACUAUCCGUAACUGGUCUGAGAGGAUGAUCAGUCACACUGGAACUAAGACACGGUCCAGACUCCUACUGUAGGCAGCAGUGGGGAAUAUUGGACAAUGGGCGAAAGCCUGAUCCAGCCAUGCCGCGUGUGUGAAGAAGGUCUUCGGAUUGUAAAGCGCGUUAAGUUGGGAGGCGUUACCAACAGAAUAAGCACCGGCUAACUUCGUGCCAGCCACCGCGGUAAUUC
rnacentral:rRNA from 1 species